rnacentral:rRNA from 1 species
GACGAACGCUGGCGGCGUGCUUAACACAUGCAAGUCGAACGAAGUGGCGAACGGGUGAGUAACACGUAAUCAACCUGCCCUUCAGAGGGGGACAACAGUUGGAAACGACUGCUAAUACCGCAUACUGAAGGAGGGGAGUGCGUCUGUUUAGCUGGUUGGAGGGGUCACGGCCCACCAAGGCGAGGAUCAGUAGCCGGACUGAGAGGAUGAACGGGCACAUUGGGACUGAGAAACGGGCCAGACUCCUACGGGAGGCAGCAGUGGGGAAUCUUCCGCAAUGGACGAAAGUCUGACGGAACAACGCCGGGGGAGUGAUGACGGCCUUCGGGUUGGAAAGCUCUGUUAAUCGGGACGCGGUACCGGAAUAGAAAGCCACGGCUAACUACGUGCCAGCAGCCGCGGUAAUUC